rnacentral:rRNA from 1 species
UACGUAGGUGGCGAGCGUUAUUCGGAUUUAUUGGGCGUAAAGGGUCCGUAGGGGGUUGGUUAAGUCCGACGUGAAAGCCCGCGGCUCAACCGCGGAACUGCAUUGGAUACUAACCAGCUAGAGCAUAGGAGAGGAGAGUAGAAUUCCUGGUGUAGCGGUGGAAUGCGUAGAUAUCAGGAGGAACACCAAAGGCGAAGGCAGCUCUCUGGACUAUCGCUGACCCUGAGGGACGAAAGCUAGGGGAGCAAACAGG